rnacentral:rRNA from 1 species
UACGUAGGGGGCAAGCGUUGUCCGGAAUCAUUGGGCGUAAAGCGCGCGUAGGCGGCCAGAUAAGUCCGGUGUGAAAGUCAAAGGCUCAACCUUUGAAUGCCGCUGGAAACUGCCUGGCUUGAGUCCGGAAGGGGCGAGUGGAAUUCCUGGUGUAGCGGUGAAAUGCGCAGAUAUCUGGAGGAACACCGGUGGCGAAGGCGGCGAUCCUGGACCGGCAUUGACGCUGAGGAGCGAAAGCCAGGGGAGCAAAGCGGG